GAUGAACGCUGGCGGCGUGCCUAAUACAUGCAAGUCGAGCGAAUGGAUUAAGAGCUUGCUCUUAUGAAGUUAGCGGCGGGCGGGUGAGUAACACGCGGGUAACCUGCCCCUAAGACUGGGAUAACUCCGGGAAACCGGGGCUAAUACCGGAUAACAUUUUGAACCGCCUGGUUCGAAAUUGAAAGGCGGCUUCGGCUGUCACUUAUGGAUGGACACGCGUCGCAUUAGCUAGUUGGUGAGGUAACGGCUCACCAGGGCAACGAUGCGUAGCCGACCUGAGAGGGUGAUCGGCCACACUGGGACUGAGACACGGACCAGACUCCUACGGGAGGCAGCAGUAGGGAAUCUUCCGCAAUGGACGAAAGUCUGACGGAGCAACGCCGCGUGAAUGAUGAAGGCUUUCGGGUCGUAAAACUCUGUUGUUAGGGAAGAACAAGUGCUAGUUGAAUAAGCUGGCACCUUGACGGUACCUAACCAGAAAGCCACGGCUAACUACGUGCCAGCCGCCGCGGUAA
rnacentral:rRNA from 1 species